rnacentral:tRNA from 1 species
GUUCAGGAAUGGGAAUCGAACCCAACAAUGUUCCGCUUACCGGGCAGAUGCCAUGUCCACUAGGCUACCCUGGA